GAAUAUUGGACAAUGGGCGAAAGCCUGAUCCAGCCAUGCCGCGUGAGUGACGAAGGUCUUCGGAUUGUAAAGCUCUUUUGGCGGGGAAGAUAAUGACGGUACCCGCAGAAUAAGCCCCGGCUAACUUCGUGCCAGCAGCCGCGGUAAUACGAAGGGGGCUAGCGUUGUUCGGAAUCACUGGGCGUAAAGCGCACGUAGGCGGACUUGCCAGUCAGGGGUGAAAUCCCGGGGCUCAACCUCGGAACUGCCUUUGAUACAGCAAGUCUAGAGUCCGGAAGAGGUGAGUGGAAUUCCUAGUGUAGAGGUGAAAUUCGUAGAUAUUAGGAAGAACACCAGUGGCGAAGGCGGCUCACUGGUCCGGCACUGACGCUGAGGUGCGAAAGCGUGGGGAGCAAACAG
rnacentral:rRNA from 1 species